UCAUGAGGUGCCCUUAGACUGUAGCAGCUGUUUCUCUCUUUACAGUAAAGACAAGAGAGCAGACAAAGCAGUCUUUGCAGAAAGGACCAAAACAUUUUAUCAGAAAUCAAAGGGAAAGAAAAAAUUACUAAAAAAAAAAAAAGAAAAGAAAGAAAUCAACCAAUAACAAAUGCUGGUGGGACUGUGGGGAAAAAGGAACCCUGCUCCACUGUUAAUGAGAGUAUAGACUGGUGCAACCACUGUGAAAAUUGGUGUGAAGACUUCUCAAAAAACUAAAACUAGAGGUUCCAUUUGACCCAGUUAUUCCUCUUCUUGGUAUCUUCUUAAAAGAAUUAAAAGCAUCAUACCACAGUGAUAUAUGCAUACCCAUGUUUAUAGUGACACAGUUUGUAAUAGCUAAAUCUUGGAAACAGCCCAUGUGCCCAUCAACCAAUGAAUAGAUAAAGAUGUGGGAGUUUUUAUACAAUGGAGUACACUCUGCCAUUAAGAAGGAUAAAUGAGACAUUUCUAGGUAGAUGGAUGCACUUAGAGACCAUAUUCUUAAGUGAAAUAAAUUGAACACACAUGUUCAAAUACUGCAUAGUUUCUCUGGUGUGAGAAACCAAAAGUGUAAAUAAG
rnacentral:lncRNA from 1 species